AAAUAAAAUGUGUGUAAGUCGCUCUGGAUAAGAGUGUCUGCUAAAUGACUAAAA
rfam:Salmo salar isolate Sally breed double haploid chromosome ssa13, whole genome shotgun sequence.